AGCAAUAGGGAUUCUUUAGUAUACAUCAUAGGGAAUCAUAAAUUUGAAUCUCAAUCAUAAAUAUAAACACAACACUAAAAACUUGUAUUCUACAUCUGUAUUUUCGGGUUUCUGAGUUAGCUAAGGUCUAGAUCUGUUUUGCACAUUUGUAUUCUACGAAUAAAACAUAGCUUCAAGCUUGACCAAAAACAAAAAAAUUGGUCUGCAUAAGAAGACAAUUAAAACUCUGCUCUAACAUAAUUCUAUGUCUGCAUAUUGCAAAAUACUUCAUAUUACAAGCAAUCAAAUUGGAUAUUGUGAAUUCAAAAUUUCAUAAUUAAAUUAACCAGGAGUCUGAGAAAUCAACACAAGUACAACAACAUGCUUAUUAAUCAACCUCUCUUAGGUACUUUUUCUAUAAGCAUCAGUUCGUAGAAGUUACCUUGCUAGUUUUGCAACCUUUAUCUUAUUAUUAGGAACAUUAACAUCUUCAAUAUUGGCCUGCACAUACAACAAUUUACUUUUUAAAUAACUUCCACGUAAAAGAAUUUGAAGAGUAGUAUGACUAAGCUGUUUCACAUAAGAACUAUAAAGCUAAUGGUCACAAUAGAUUUGCUAAGUAAAUGUUGAUACCAAUGUAUAAUAAAAAGCUGGUAAUAUAAAACAUAGCCAAUUGUUGCAAAGGAUAUAAAGAAAUUAAUGUACAUGAAAAAACCUGCAUAGCAUCCAAUCCAUCCAUAAUACAACGAAUGUGCCUAACAUGUAGUUAUACUGUGGUUCACAUUGACAAGGUGUUAAUACAACAAAACUACUAAAACCAAUGAAGUCUAAAAUUUCCGAGAACUAUCACUUACAAUUGCUCAAGGAGACUAGAAGUAUGGUUAACCACUGAAGGGUACAGAACACUUCUCUUUGCCAUGAUUGUCAUCUAAAAUAAAACACAGUGACAACUGCACUUUAGCAAAUUACAGAAAGUAGUGUGUCAAAUAACUUACAUAGUAACCAAGAAUCAGGUCUUACUAACCUCCUAUAGCCAAAUGACAGUUUAGUUACAAGCUUCGCAUAAUCGAUCAAUGUUGCAAAUCCAACUCUAGACUGUGGAAAGCCUGAGCAGGGUAGAGUGCCCACGGUAAUCAGAAAACAACAAUUAAUUAAGCUUCAAAUUUAUUAACAUUGUGAAAAAAUUAAUCAAAUCCAAACAUUCGACACCAAUUCAGCAUACCAAAACAAUAACUAAUAACUUCAAGCACCUCCCAAAACAACAAGUACUACUAACACACAGUCCUUCACUAAACCAAAACCAAAUGCCAACACAGUAGGUUUACUACCUUUCUCUAUUGCCAAAACAGUAGCUAUGCAGGAGGAGUUUCCUCUCCUUUGCUGAACUGUAGUACUAAACUCGAGGCCUCCAAAGCUCCUCCUUUGUCCUUAAAUAAGCCAAUAACCCAAUCAAACAUCUACAACAUCACCAAAAUUACGAAUUUAAAGGCUCUAAGGUAAAAACAUCCUUACCUUUACCAAAUCCAACCAAGGCAGAACCAAACCUCCUUCAAUACUCAGUCGAGAUGCAGCAAACCACUAGAACCAGCUCCAAUUUGCCCAAGGUUUUGCUAAUUGUAAAUCCACCAUUUCCAUUAGCACCCUAUAAAAGAACUAUGUUAGAAAUUGUGCCAUAAGGGGAAAACCUAGACAAAUAGCAUUUACUCAAUGGUUAUGUAUCAAAAUUUGUGUGUGAAUGCAUUCAAGACAAAAAUUAAAAAUGACUUCAUACAAAGAGCUAGCAAAACACAAGUAAUAUGCAAAACACAAUAUCAGCUAUUAGAUAUCAUUUUCGAGACCUGUUUCUCUUGGUUAGACACAGGGCAGCCUUCCCAGCCCUCACCACUAAGCCAAAGCAUCUUCUUCUUACAACCCCAAUAUUAGAGCUCAAAUCAAUCCCAAAAACUAACCUACAAAUUACUAAUAACAUGUACAUCAAUUAUCACACAUCAAACCAUAAACUAUAUUGGCUAUUCAGCUCAACUUCCAGCAACCAAAUAGAUCCAUUGCCUUGUUAAGAGUAAUAGGAGGAAAAAUUGAACAACAACUUAGUAAUCUGAAGUUACAAUACCCACUAAAGAUAACUGAACAAUGUAAAAUCACUCACCUCUAGGAAUGGGAAAUCACCAUAGUGCCCAUUCUUCUUGAGCACAAGCUUCACUUUGACAUGGCACCUCCUUUGGGUUUCUGUAACAAACAAAUCACAUUAUUGAUGCAACACUUGAAUCUACAAUCCCAUAGUACUCAACUCAAUCUUACAUCAUAACUAUAACCCUGUUUUUAUAGUUUUUAGCAACUGAUUCUUUUUUUUUUUUUUACAUAAAAGUACAACACAAUUAGUAUGAACUUGUAUGUAGAACUCAAUACCCUACCAAUGAAUGUACAAAUUUUGACUAUGAUCCCCUACUUCGUCUUC
rnacentral:lncRNA from 1 species